UAAUGCCUAGGAAUCUGCCUGGUAGUGGGGGACGAACGUUUCGAAAGGAACGCUAAUACCGCAUACGUCCUACGGGAGAAAGCAGGGACCUUCGGGCCUUGCGCUAUCAGAUGAGCCUAGGUCGGAUUAGCUAGUUGGUGAGGUAAUGGCUCACCAAGGCGACGAUCCGUAACCGGUCUGAGAGGAUGAUCAGUCACACUGGAACUGAGACACGGUCCAGACUCCUACGGGAGGCAGCAGCA
rnacentral:rRNA from 1 species